GAAAUAACCAAAGAGCUCUUGGCCUCUAGCUAGACCACAUACCUCUUGUUGCCUAGCUUGGAAUUCCACACUGCUGCCCACUCCCUUUUGGAACCCAUAGAACACUUACAUGCAACAUGCAUCCUGGAAGUAAAAGAGAGUGGUGACCAGGGGACCAUCUUUGACUAAUGGAAGGAAAGAAGCCGAUGGAUAAAUGUUUUUCUCUUUCAUCUCCCAGGGACAUAAGGAUUUCAAAAGGCCCUCAGAACAUCCUGCUACUUCAAGGAAGCCAGCUUCCACGUCAUGACAACAUUCAUGCAGCACUAUGGAAAGGCAAGAAACUGAGGCCUCUGUCAGCAGCCAGCACCAACUUGCAAGCCAUGGGAGGGGGCAUUCUUGGAAGAGAAUCCUCCUGCUCACUCAAGUCUUCAGAUGACUCCAGCUCUGGCUAACAUCAUGACUAUGAUCUCAUGAGAGAUGCUGAGUCAGAACCACCAAGCUUAGACACUUCUUCAUUCCUGACCCACAUGAUAUGUGCAAGAUAAUAAAUUUUUAUUGGUGUCUUCCAUCUCUAAGUUUGGGGCUAGUUUCAUAUCCAACAAUAGAUAACUAAAAUAGCAGUAGAAAAU
rnacentral:lncRNA from 1 species